AGGGGGCGAGCGGUAUCGUGAGUUACGGGGCGUAGAGGGGGCGUAGGCGGUCUUUCAAGUCAGGAGUGAAAGGCUACGGCUCAACCGUAGGAAGCUCUUGAAACUGGGAGACUGGAGUGCAGGAGAGGAGAGUGGAAUUCCUAGUGUAGCGGGGAAAUGCGUAGAUAUUAGGAGGAACACCAGUUGCGAAGGCGGCUCUCUGGACGGUAACUGACGCUGAGGCACGAAAGCGUGGGGAGCAAACAGGAUUAGAUACCCUGGUAGUCCACGCUGUAAACGAUGAGUACUAGGUGUCGGGGGUUACCCCCUUCGAUGACGCAGCUAACACAUUCAGUACUCCGCCUGGGAAAUCCGCUCGCAAGAGUGAAACUCAACGGAAUUGACGGGGACCCGCACACGUAGCGGAGCAUGUGGUUUAAUUCGAAGCAACGCGAAGAACCUGACCUAAGCUUGACAUCCCAAGGA
rnacentral:rRNA from 1 species